rnacentral:rRNA from 1 species
GAGUUUGAUCAUGGCUCAGGAUGAACGCUGGCGGCGUGCUUAACACAUGCAAGUCGAACGAACCUUCGGGUUAGUGGCGGACGGGUGAGUAACGCGUGAGAAUCUGCCCUCAGGAGGGGGAUAACGGUUGGAAACGACCGCUAAUACCCCAUAUGCCGCGAGGUGAAAUGAAUUUCGCCUGAGGAUGAGCUCGCGCCUGAUUAGCUAGUUGGUGUAGGUAAAGGCUCACCAAGGCAUCGAUCAGUAGCUGGUCUGAGAGGAUGAUCAGCCACACUGGGACUGAGACACGGCCCAGACUCCUACGGGAGGCAGCAGUGGGGAAUUUUCCGCAAUGGGCGAAAGCCUGACGGAGCAACGCCGCGUGAGGGAUGAAGGCCUCUGGGCUGUAAACCUCUUUUAUCAAGGAAGAAGAUCUGACGGUACUUGAUGAAUAAGCCACGGCUAAUUCCGUGCCAGCAGCCGCGGUAAUACGGGAGUGGCAAGCGUUAUCCGGAAUUAUUGGGCGUAAAGCGUCCGCAGGCGGCCCUUCAAGUCUGCUGUUAAAAAGUGGAGCUUAACUCCAUCAUGGCAGUGGAAACUGUUGGGCUUGAGUGUGGUAGGGGCAGAGGGAAUUCCCGGUGUAGCGGUGAAGUGCGUAGAUAUCGGGAAGAACACCAGUGGCGAAGGCGCUCUGCUGGGCCAUCACUGACGCUCAUGGACGAAAGCCAGGGGAGCGAAAGGGACUAGAUACCCCUGUAGUCCUGGCCGUAAACGAUGAACACUAGGUGUCGGGGGAAUCGACCCCCUCGGUGUCGUAGCCAACGCGUUAAGUGUUCCGCCUGGGGAGUACGCACGCAAGUGUGAAACUCAAAGGAAUUGACGGGGGCCCGCACAAGCGGUGGAGUAUGUGGUUUAAUUCGAUGCAACGCGAAGAACCUUACUAGGGUUUGACAUCCUGCGAAUCUCUUGGAAACGAGAGAGUGCCUUCGGGAGCGCAGUGACAGGUGGUGCAUGGCUGUCGUCAGCUCGUGUCGUGAGAUGUUGGGUUAAGUCCCGCAACGAGCGCAACCCACGUCUUUAGUUGCCAGCAUUUAGUUGGGCACUCUAGAGAGACCGCCGGUGAUAAACCGGAGGAAGGUGUGGAUGACGUCAAGUCAUCAUGCCCCUUACAUCCUGGGCUACACACGUACUACAAUGCUACGGACAAAGGGCAGCAAGUUCGCGAGGACAAGCAAAUCCCAUAAACCGUGGCUCAGUUCAGAUCGUAGGCUGCAACUCGCCUACGUGAAGGAGGAAUCGCUAGUAAUCGCAGGUCAGCAUACUGCGGUGAAUACGU